UACGUAGGGGGCAAGCGUUGUCCGGAAUCAUUGGGCGUAAAGAGCGUGUAGGCGGCUCGGUAAGUCCGCUGUAAAAGUCCAGGGCUCAACCCUGGAAAGCCGGUGGAUACUGUCGGGCUCGAGUCCGGAAGAGGCGAGUGGAAUUCCUGGUGUAGCGGUGAAAUGCGCAGAUAUCAGGAGGAACACCAAUGGCGAAGGCAGCUCGCUGGGACGGUACUGACGCUGAGACGCGAAAGCGUGGGGAGCAAACAGG
rnacentral:rRNA from 1 species